CGUAGCGAAUGAAUUAAGAGCUUGCUCUUAUGAAGUUAGCGGCGGACGGGUGAGUAACACGUGGGUAACCUGCCCAUAAGACUGGGAUAACUCCGGGAAACCGGGGCUAAUACCGGAUAACAUUUUGAACUGCAUGGUUCGAAAUUGAAAGGCGGCUUCGGCUGUCACUUAUGGAUGGACCCGCGUCGCAUUAGCUAGUUGGUGAGGUAACGGCUCACCAAGGCAACGAUGCGUAGCCGACCUGAGAGGGUGAUCGGCCACACUGGGACUGAGACACGGCCCAGACUCCUACGGGAGGCAGCAGUAGGGAAUCUUCCGCAAUGGACGAAAGUCUGACGGAGCAACGCCGCGUGAGUGAUGAAGGCUUUCGGGUCGUAAAACUCUGUUGUUAGGGAAGAACAAGUGCUAGUUGAAUAAGCUGGCACCUUGACGGUACCUAACCAGAAAGCCACGGCUAACUACGUGCCAGCAGCCGCGGUAAUACGUAGGUGGCAAGCGUUAUCCGGAAUUAUUGGGCGUAAAGCGCGCGCAGGUGGUUUCUUAAGUCUGAUGUGAAAGCCCACGGCUCAACCGUGGAGGGUCAUUGGAAACUGGGAGACUUGAGUGCAGAAGAGGAAAGUGGAAUUCCAUGUGUAGCGGUGAAAUGCGUAGAGAUAUGGAGGAACACCAGUGGCGAAGGCGACUUUCUGGUCUGUAACUGACACUGAGGCGCGAAAGCGUGGGGAGCAAACAGGAUUAGAUACCCCUGGUAGUCCACGCCGUAAACGAUGAGUGCUAAGUGUUUAGAGGGUUUCCGCCCUUUAGUUGCUGAAGUUAACGCAUUAAGCACUCCGCCCUGGGGGAGUACGGCCGCAAGGCUGAACUCAAAGGAAUUGACGGGGGCCCGCACAAGCGGGUGGAAGCAUGUGGUUUAAUUCGAAGCACGCGAGACCUUACCAGUCUUGACAUCCUCUGAAACCCUAGAGAUAGGGCUUCUCCUUCGGGAGCAGAGUGACAGUGGGUGCAUGGUGUCGUCAGCUCGUGUCCGUGAAGAUGUUGGGUUAAGUCCCGCACGAGCGCACCCUGAUCUAGUGCCAUCAUUAAGUUGGGCACUCUAAGUGACUGCCGUGCAACCGAGAAAAUU
rnacentral:rRNA from 1 species